UUGAUAUUCAUUCAUUGGUUC
ensembl:piRNA 21ur-12894 ncRNA